AGAUUGAACGCUGGCGGCAGGCCUAACACAUGCAAGUCGAGCGGUAGAGAGGUGCUUGCACCUCUUGAGAGCGGCGGACGGGUGAGUAAUGCCUAGGAAUCUGCCUAGUGGUGGGGGAUAACGUUCGGAAACGGACGCUAAUACCGCAUACGUCCUACGGGAGAAAGCGGGGGACCUUCGGGCCUCGCGCCAUUAGAUGAGCCUAGGUCGGAUUAGCUAGUUGGUGAGGUAAUGGCUCACCAAGGCGACGAUCCGUAACUGGUCUGAGAGGAUGAUCAGUCACAUGGAACUGAGACACGGUCCAGACUCCGUACGGGAGCAG
rnacentral:rRNA from 1 species